rnacentral:rRNA from 1 species
CUCCGGCUCCCGCUAUUGGAUGAGCCUAUGUCGGAUUAGCUAGUUGGUAAGGUAAUGGCUUACCAAGGCAACGAUCCGUAGCUGGUCUGAGAGGAUGAUCAGCCACAUCGGGACUGAGACACGGCCCGAACUCCUACGGGAGGCAGCAGUGGGGAAUAUUGGACAAUGGGGGCAACCCUGAUCCAGCCAUGCCGCGUGUGUGAAGAAGGCCCUCGGGUUGUAAAGCACUUUCAGCGAGGAAGAAUGCCUAUCGGUUAAUACCCGGUAGGAAAGACAUCACUCGCAGAAGAAGCACCGGCUAACUCCGUGCCAGCAGCCGCGGUAAUACGGAGGGUGCAAGCGUUAAUCGGAAUUACUGGGCGUAAAGCGCGCGUAGGUGGCUUGAUAAGCCGGUUGUGAAAGCCCCGGGCUCAACCUGGGAACGGCAUCCGGAACUGUCAGGCUAGAGUGCAGGAGAGGAAGGUAGAAUUCCCGGUGUAGCGGUGAAAUGCGUAGAGAUCGGGAGGAAUACCAGUGGCGAAGGCGGCCUUCUGGACUGACACUGACACUGAGGUGCGAAAGCGUGGGUAGCAAACANGGAUUAGAUACCCUGGUAGUCCACGCCGUAAACGAUGUCGACCAGCCGUUGGGUGCCUAGAGCACUUUGUGGCGAAGUUAACGCGAUAAGUCGACCGCCUGGGGAGUACGGCCGNCNAAGGUUAAAACUCAAAUGAAUUGACGGGGGCCCGCACAAGCGGUGGAGCAUGUGGUUUAAUUCGAUGCAACGCGAAGAACCUUACCUACCCUUGACAUCUACAGAAGCCGGAAGAGAUUCUGGUGUGCCUUCGGGAACUGUAAGACAGGUGCUGCAUGGCUGUCGUCAGCUCGUGUUGUGAAAUGUUGGGUUAAGUCCCGUAACGAGCGCAACCCUUGUCCUUAUUUGCCAGCGAGUAAUGUCGGGAACUCUAAGGAGACUGCCGGUGACAAACCGGAGGAAGGUGGGGACGACGUCAAGUCAUCAUGGCCCUUACGGGUAGGGCUACACACGUGCUACAAUGGCCGGUACAAAGGGCUGCGAGCUCGCGAGAGUCAGCGAAUCCCUUAAAGCCGGUCUCAGUCCGGAUCGGAGUCCGCAACUCGACUCCGU